UUAUAUCAGUGGUUUCGCUGAAGGGAAACCAACCUUGAGCAUCUCAUCAGGCAUCUGAGUUAUCACCACUAUUUUGUCACCUUAGUGAAAGGAAAGUUCUAGAAGAGAGCCUUGUGGUAUCUCCCCAUGGAAAGACUCCGGAGAGGCUCUUCUGUGACAACAGCUUUGCUAACAGCCUUCCAGUUCUCCCAGCCCACUGAGUUGGAGGGUCACCUUCCCCUGCCGAGGACAUCGGGAUCCGGAUCCUGCCGGGCUCAGCCAGGAUGUCCUCACCAUCCCCCGUGUUAUCACCAUGACAGAGAGAGCAGCAGUGACCUGUGUCACAACAGGAUCUUGCAGACAUGAUUGUGUGUGACCUCCAAGCCUGGGUCAUAAAGACAUCAUCCUGCCAGGCUGUCUCUGGGAAGCCAGCCACCAUGCCCUGUGGAUGCCCAAGCAGUCCCGCAGAGAGCCCCAUAUGGAGAGGAACCGCCCUGGGAGGGGGCUGCUUGGGAAGGAAGUCCGCUGGCCUCAAUUACACCUUCAGAUGAGACCACAGCUCCAAACACCCAGCCAGCUGCUCCCGAAUUGCCAGCCCCCAGAAACCGGGAGAGACCAUAUAUGUUGAUCAUUCUACGACUCUCCCGGGAUGUAGUCUCCGAGGUGUUGGUCUGCCCUCUUCCUGGUGUGGUCGUCACUGAAAUGAGUUACUUUCUUGUGUCACUUCCACGCUCACCUCUGCCCUCGGAUUCUGUCAGCACCAAGGACCCUCUCUAGCAGGUGGAGGACGGCCACGCUGCCCACAGUCUCCUGUCCCCCUCUGGCAAUGUGAUGUUGGAAGUAAAGAGACGUCCACCUUCAUUGAGCCACUGUAUUUCAGAUCUCUUUACUAUGGCAGCAAAACAUGCCCCCAGAGGAACGCACUGUGAUACCGAAUUCACCUGCGGCUCUAACACAGCGGGGCCUGUGCUGGAUCUGUCUGCUCGGCACCAUCUGUUCGCAGGGUGCUGAUCCCACCCGGCCCCGCGGUUCUGCAAGAUGACGGACCCACCCUGCCUGGGCACAGGCAGGUGGCCCGGGUCUGACUGGUCCUGACUCCCCAUCCUGUUCAGGGUUAUAGUUUCAUGGGUUGGACAUAAGACCCAACUGUGGCCCUUCCAUGAGACUCUCACUGUGAUGAGAGAGAGGCUUUGUCAUUAUUGCGGAUUGUGGUGGGAGAGGGAAGCCAACCCCAAGCAGCACCAGAGGCCACCAGAGAGAGGGCAGGAGGAAGCCCAACAAAGGCCCCUCAGCCCCUGGAUCUAGCUGUGCCUGCCGCACCUUGAGAUGCAAGUGAUCCAAGAUGUGAGCUGAACUUCUGUCACUUGCAACUAAGAGUCCCAUGUCCUUUAUUUUAAUAAUAAAACACGUUUGGGAGUGAUUUUAUAUAA